rnacentral:rRNA from 1 species
GGCGGACGGGUGAGUAAUGUCUGGGAAACUGCCUGAUGGAGGGGGAUAACUACUGGAAACGGUAGCUAAUACCGCAUGACCUCGAAAGAGCAAAGUGGGGGAUCUUCGGACCUCACGCCAUCGGAUGUGCCCAGAUGGGAUUAGCUAGUAGGUGAGGUAAUGGCUCACCUAGGCGACGAUCCCUAGCUGGUCUGAGAGGAUGACCAGCCACACUGGAACUGAGACACGGUCCAGACUCCUACGGGAGGCAGCAGUGGGGAAUAUUGCACAAUGGGCGCAAGCCUGAUGCAGCCAUGCCGCGUGUGUGAAGAAGGCCUUAGGGUUGUAAAGCACUUUCAGCGAGGAGGAAGGCAUCANACUUAAUACGUGUGGUGAUUGACGUUACUCGCAGAAGAAGCACCGGCUAACUCCGUGCCAGCAGCCGCGGUAAUACGGAGGGUGCAAGCGUUAAUCGGAAUUACUGGGCGUAAAGCGCACGCAGGCGGUUUGUUAAGUCAGAUGUGAAAUCCCCGCGCUUAACGUGGGAACUGCAUUUGAAACUGGCAAGCUAGAGUCUUGUAGAGGGGGGUAGAAUUCCAGGUGUAGCGGUGAAAUGCGUANAGAUCUGGAGGAAUACCGGUGGCGAAGGCGGCCCCCUGGACAAAGACUGACGCUCAGGUGCGAAAGCGUGGGGAGCAAACAGGAUUANAUACCCUGGUAGUCCACGCUGUAAACGAUGUC